AGCAGAGUCUCUCCCAUGAGUCAGGGCUCCUGAAGGCAAUUAGUGUCCAGGUGAUAGGCCUGCUAGGGACAGUGGGAUCCGGAGGGCUGGGCCACUAGUGUCAGGAUGCCGGGACCUGAAGGGUUCCUUAUUAAGUAAUAGGGAGUGAGGAAGGGCCUAACCUCCCUGGUUGUUUCUACUAAAGACAGUGAUCUUGUUUUAUGUAUAUCUUUGUUUUUGAGAUACCCGAAAAAAAGGUAUUUGUUGUUUUUGCACAAGCCUGGAGUUGGUCGUUUUUGGAUUUUUGUAGCAGAGCACAUUCUAGCAAGUCUUCUGUUACAAAUGGCACCUGAUCAUGGGGCCCUUCUGCUAGUUGUGGCACACGUGGCAGAGGACCAACAGCUGCAAGGUAGCGUCACACGUACCAGUGAACUUCAGACCAAGCUGAACUUGUGGGCAUCAGUACCAGACCAAGGGUGCUGGCGUCAGCAGCAGAUAAGGUGGCGAAGGGCCGGCACCACUCUUUCACUGCCAUAGCGGGGACCAGCGCGACAAGCAGCACCCCUGGACCAAUUCCUCCGCCGCCGGCAAUUGCGGACCCGCCUCGUCCUGACCAACUCCGGCGAUUGGUCCUUAUACUGAGGGCGGUAGUCCAACAAAUGUUUGUUUAUAUUUUACGUUGCUUAUAAAAAAAAAAUGUUUUUUGUUUUUUUCCUUCCAGUUUUUUUAUUAAAGUUUUUAUAUAAUUUACAGUUA